rnacentral:rRNA from 1 species
UAAGAUCCCUCAAAGAUGAUGAGGUUAAUAGGUUCGAGGUGGAAGCAUGGUGACAUGUGGAGCUGACGAAUACUAAUCGAUCGAAGACUUAAUCAA